rnacentral:rRNA from 1 species
CCCAGACAGCCAGGAUGUUGGCUUAGAAGCAGCCAUCAUUUAAAGAAAGCGUAAUAGCUCACUGGUCGAGUCGGCCUGCGCGGAAGAUGUAACGGGGCUAAACCAUGCACCGAAGCUGCGGCAGCGAACGUAUCACUUAAAGCGAUUCAGCGGAUUACGAUUGACGGAGCGAAGCGACGUCAAAGCGUAUACAAAGUCGAGUCGGUUUAAGGAUACGUUCGUUGGGUAGGGGAGCGUUCUGUAAGCCUGUGAAGGUGGCCUGUGAGGGUUGCUGGAGGUAUCAGAAGUGCGAAUGCUGACAUAAGUAACGAUAAAGCGGGUGAAAAGCCCGCUCGCCGGAAGACCAAGGGUUCCUGUCCAACGUUAAUCGGGGCAGGGUGAGUCGACCCCUAAGGCGAGGCCGAAAGGCGUAGUCGAUGGGAAAC